CUGUGAUUUUGGUGUCACAUUUAGGUUCAGCAACUGUCCGGAGUUGGUGGAUGUUCUGUCCGAGCCUGAUUAAAAGAUUGAUAAACAGAUGCUGUGAAGUGAGUCCAAAUGCUACAGACACAGAAAAAGAUGCCGCAAUGGAGGAACACAGCAAGCACCUUCCAGGAAGAGCUGAAGAAUAUUAGAAAUAAAGACUCUAAAAUAACA